rnacentral:rRNA from 1 species
CCCUUAGAUGUUCUGGGCUGCACGCGCGCUACACUGUCGGAUUCAGCGAGUCAUAUCCUUAACCGAAAGGUUUGGGUAAUCUUUUGAAAGUCCGACGUGAUGGGGAUUGAUCAUUGCAAUUAUUGAUCAUGAACGAGGAAUUCCUAGUAAGCGCGAGUCAUCAGCUCGCGUUGAUUACGUCCCUGCCCUUUGUACACACCGCCCGUCGCUACUACCGAUUGAAUGGUUUAGUGAGAUCUUCGGAUUGGCGCCUACGCGGCUUCGCUGAGGCCACGCUGGAUGCCGAAAAGUUGCUCAAACUGUAUCAUUUAGAGGAAGUAAAAGUCGUAACA